rnacentral:rRNA from 1 species
CCUACGGGGUGCACCAGUGGGGAAUUUUGGACAAUGGGGGAAACCCUGAUCCAGCGACGCCGCGUGAAGGAAGAAGUCCUUCGGGAUGUAAACUGCUUUUUACUGGGAAGAAUAGAUGACGGUACCAGUAGAAUAAGCCCCGGCUAACUACGUGCCAGCAGCCGCGGUAAGACGUAGGGGGCAAGCGUUACCCGGAAUCACUGGGCGUAAAGGGGGCGUAGGCGGGAAGUUAAGUCAGAUGUUAAAGAACACGGCUCAACCGUGUGAAUGCGUUUGAAACUGACUUCCUUGAGGAUAGUAGAGGAAAAGGGAAUUACCAAUGUAGGGGUGAAAUCCGUAGAGAUUGGUAAGAAGGCCGGUGGCGAAGGCGCUUUUCUGGACUAUACCUGACGCUGAGGCCCGAAAGCUAGGGGAGCGAACCGGAUUAGAUACCCCGGUAGUC